rnacentral:rRNA from 1 species
CUACGGGGGGCAGCAGUAAGGAAUAUUGCGCAAUGGAGGCAACUCUGACGCAGCCAUGCCGCGUGCAGGAAGAAGGCCUUAUGGGUCGUAAACUGCUUUUAUUUAGGAAUAAACCCCCGAACGUGUUCGGGGCUGAAGGUACUGAAUGAAUAAGCACCGGCUAACUCCGUGCCAGCAGCCGCGGUAAUACGGAGGGUGCAAGCGUUAUCCGGAUUUAUUGGGUUUAAAGGGUGCGCAGGCGGGCUAUUAAGUCAGUGGUGAAAUCCCGGGGCUCAACUCCGGAACUGCCAUUGAUACUGAUAGUCUUGAGUUUGGUUGAAGUGGGCGGAAUGUAGCAUGUAGCGGUGAAAUGCAUAGAUAUGCUACAGAACACCAAUCGCGAAGGCAGCUCACUAAGCCAAAACUGACGCUCAUGCACGAAAGCGUGGGGAUCAAACAGGAUUAGAUACCCGCGUAGUC